UUAGGCCUAGGAUCAUGAAACUUUAUAGGUACACUGAUCAUGACUUGCAGAUGACCCCUAUUGAUUUUGAGGUCACUAGGUCAAAGGUCAAGGUCACGGUGACCUGAAAUAGUAAAAUGGUUUCUGGAUGAUAACUCAAGAACGCUUACGCCUAGGAUCACGAAACUUCAUAGGUAGAUUGAUCAUGACUCGCAGAUGACCCCUAUUGAUUUUCAGAUCACUAGGUCAAAGGUCAAGGUCACAGUGACCCGAAAUAGUAAAAUGGUUUCCGGAUGAUAACUCAAGAACGCUCAUGCCUAGGAUCAUGAAACUUCGUAGGUAGAUUGAUAAUGGCUGGCAGAUGACCCCUAUUGAUUUUCAGGUCACUAGGUCAAAGGUCAAGGUCACGGUGACCCGAAAUAGUAAAAUGGUUUCCGGAUGAUAACUCAAGAACGCUUAUGGCUAGGAUCAUGAAACUUC